rnacentral:tRNA from 2 species
CGCGGGGUGGAGCAGUGGUAGCUCGUUGGGCUCAUAACCCAAAGGUCAUAGGUUCGAUCCCUAUCCCCGCAACUA